AGGUAAGAUCACACUAACAUUAAUGUACCGGAUUCCAUUAGAACUUCUCAGUUAAGCGUAUUUGGGCAAAAGUAGUACUAGGAUGGGUGACUUCUUAAGAAGUCCUCGUCUUGUACCUU
rnacentral:rRNA from 2 species